GGCGGGCACCGGAGCCGGGAAGGGACAGGUCAGGCGGGGAGUGCGAGCGCGUACUGCUUGCGCCACUCGGGCUGGGUCAGGAGCGGCUGCCCGAGGUCCAGAGGAAGUGUGUGGACAGCGCGGCCUUCCUGGCCGGUGAGUCGGCCCCGGGUCGUGGCCGGUGAGGGGACCCUGAGCUUCACCUGGGCUAGCGCGGGGAGUGACAGGUGCGCGAAGGAGCGCGGCGCUCCGCCCUCUCGCCGACCCGCCCCCUCCGGGCCUCGCCCUCCGGGGCUCGGGAUGAGUCGCGGGCCCCAGCUGAGCGGCUCCGGCUCCAGGCGCCUGUCGCUGCUUCUGCCGUCGCCACCGAAGAGCGGCCGCCGCCCCUGAGGGAAGGAGGGAGGGAAGCAGCCGCUGACCCGUGGCAUGAGCUGGAUGCGGUGUCCGUUGCAGGACUAGGGCGCCGACAUGAACCUGCACCAGGUGCUGACCGGGGCUGUGAACCCUGGCGACCACUGCUUCUCCGUGGGCAGCAUUGGCGACCAGCGCUUCACGGCUUAUGCAUCUGGAUGUGACAUUGUAAUACUGGGAAGCGAUUUUGAAAGAUUACAGAUAAUCCCAGGAGCUAAACAUGGAAAUAUUCAAGUGGGAUGUGUAGACUGUUCAAUGCAACAAGGCAAGAUUGCAGCGUCUUAUGGAAAUGUUAUCUCCAUUUUUGAACCAGUUAACCUACC
rnacentral:lncRNA from 1 species